GACGAACGCUGGCGGCGUGCCUAACACAUGCAAGUCGAACGGAGUUAAGACUUCGGUUUAACUUAGUGGCGAACGGGUGAGUAACACGUGAGGAACCUGCCUUUCAGUGGGGGACAACAGUUGGAAACGACUGCUAAUACCGCAUAAUGUACUAUAGGGGCAUCCCUUAAGUACCAAAGCUUUAUGUGCUGAAAGAUGGCCUCGCGUCUGAUUAGCUAGUUGGUGAGGUUAAACGGGCCCACCAAGGCGACGAUCAGUAGCCGGACUGAGAGGUUGAACGGCCACAUUGGGACUGAGAUACGGCCCAGACUCCUACGGGAGGCAGCAGUGGGGAAUAUUGGGCAAUGGGCGCAAGCCUGACCCAGCAAUGCCGCGUGAAGGAAGAAGGCUUCGGGUUGUAAACUUCUUUUGUCAGGGACGAGGAGAAGACGGUACCUGACGAAUAAGCCACGGCUAACUACGUG
rnacentral:rRNA from 1 species